rnacentral:rRNA from 1 species
GACGAACGCUGGCGGCGUGCUUAACACAUGCAAGUCGAACGAUGAACCGGGUGCUUGCACUUGGGGAUUAGUGGCGAACGGGUGAGUAACACGUGAGUAACCUGCCCUGGACUCUGGGAUAACCCCGAGAAAUCGGAGCUAAUACCGGAUAGGACCUUCUCCCGCAUGGGGGUUGGUGGAAAGUUUUUCGGUUUGGGAUGGACUCGCGGCCUAUCAGCUUGUUGGUGAGGUAAUGGCUCACCAAGGCGCCGACGGGUAGCCGGCCUGAGAGGGUGACCGGCCACACUGGGACUGAGACACGGCCCAGACUCCUACGGGAGGCAGCAGUGGGGAAUAUUGCACAAUGGGCGCAAGCCUGAUGCAGCAACGCCGCGUGCGGGAUGACGGCCUUCGGGUUGUAAACCGCUUUUAGUAAGGAAGAAGGGGCUUCGGCCUUGACGGUACUUGCAGAAAAAGGACCGGCUAACUACGUGCCAGCCGCCGCCGUAA